UACCAGCACCCCGAGUGGUCGGGACGUUUAUUGGGCCUAAAGCAUCCGUAGCCGGUUCUACAAGUCUUCCGUUAAAUCCACCUGCUCAACAGAUGGGCUGCGGAAGAUACUAUGGAGCUAGGAGGCGGGAGAGGCAAGCGGUACUCGAUGGGUAGGGGUAAAAUCCGUUGAUCCAUUGAAGACCACCAGUGGCGAAGGCGGCUUGCCAGAACGCGCUCGACGGUGAGGGAUGAAAGCUGGGAGAGCAAACCGG
rnacentral:rRNA from 1 species